rnacentral:rRNA from 1 species
UAAUACGUAGGGACCGAGCGUUGUCCGGAUUCAUUGGGCGUAAAGAGCUCGUAGGCGGCUGCUCAAGUCGAAUGUGAAAACUCGAGGCUCAACCUCGAGCCUGCAUUCGAUACUGGGCGGCUAGAGUCUGGUAGGGGGAUCUGGAAUUCCUGGUGUAGCGGUGGAAUGCGCAGAUAUCAGGAGGAACACCGGUGGCGAAGGCGGGAUCCUGGGCCAGUACUG